rnacentral:rRNA from 1 species
AUCGAACGCUGGCGGCAGGCCUAACACAUGCAAGUCGAGCGGCAGCGGGAAAGUAGCUUGCUACUUUUGCCGGCGAGCGGCGGACGGGUGAGUAAUGCCUGGGGAUCUGCCCAGUCGAGGGGGAUAACUACUGGAAACGGUAGCUAAUACCGCAUACGCCCUACGGGGGAAAGCAGGGGACCUUCGGGCCUUGCGCGAUUGGAUGAACCCAGGUGGGAUUAGCUAGUUGGUGAGGUAACGGCUCACCAAGGCGACGAUCCCUAGCUGGUCUGGGAGGAUGAUCAGCCACACUGGAACUGAGACACGGUCCAGACUCCUACGGGAGGCAGCAGUGGGGAAUAUUGCACAAUGGGGGAAACCCUGAUGCAGCCAUGCCGCGUGUGUGAAGAAGGCCUUCGGGUUGUAAAGCACUUUCAGCGAGGAGGAAAGGUUGGUAGCUAAUAACUGCCAGCUGUGACGUUACUCGCAGAAGAAGCACCGGCUAACUCCGUGCCAGCCGCCGCAGUAAGAC